GACGAACGCUGGCGGCGUGCUUAACACAUGCAAGUCGAACGAAGAGCGAUGGAAGCUUGCUUCUAUCAAUCUUAGUGGCGAACGGGUGAGUAACGCGUAAUCAACCUGCCCUUCAGAGGGGGACAACAGUUGGAAACGACUGCUAAUACCGCAUACGAUCUAAUCUCGGCAUCGAGGAUAGAUGAAAGGUGGCCUCUACAUGUAAGCUAUCACUGAAGGAGGGGAUUGCGUCUGAUUAGCUAGUUGGAGGGGUAACGGCCCACCAAGGCGAUGAUCAGUAGCCGGUCUGAGAGGAUGAACGGCCACAUUGGGACUGAGACACGGCCCAGACUCCUACGGGAGGCAGCAGUGGGGAAUCUUCCGCAAUGGACGAAAGUCUGACGGAGCAACGCCGCGUGAGUGAUGACGGCCUUCGGGUUGUAAAGCUCUGUUAAUCGGGACGAAAGGCCUUCUUGCGAAUAGUGAGAAGGAUUGACGGUACCGGAAUAG
rnacentral:rRNA from 1 species